AUUGAACGCUGGCGGCAGGCCUAACACAUGCAAGUCGAACGGUAACAGGAAGAAGCUUGCUUCUUUGCUGACGAGUGGCGGACGGGUGAGUAAUGUCUGGGAAACUGCCUGAUGGAGGGGGAUAACUACUGGAAACGGUAGCUAAUACCGCAUAACGUCGCAAGACCAAAGAGGGGGACCUUCGGGCCUCUUGCCAUCGGAUGUGCCCAGAUGGGAUUAGCUUGUUGGUGGGGUAACGGCUCACCAAGGCGACGAUCCCUAGCUGGUAUGAGAGGAUGACUAGCCACCCUGGAAGGGAGACACGGUCCCGACUCCUACGGGAGGCAGCAGUGGGGAAUAUUGCGCGAUGUGGGAAAGCCUGAUGCAGCCAUGCCGCGUGUAUGAAGAAGGCCUUCGGGUUGUAGAGUAAUUUCAGCGGGGAGAAAGGGAGUACCGUUCAUACCUUAGCUCAUUGACGGUACCCGCAGAAGAAGCACCGGCUAACUCCGUG
rnacentral:rRNA from 1 species